ensembl:lncRNA
GGGUUUUGGGGUGGAUUUUGGGCUUUUGGGGUGGAUUUUGGGUUUUUGGGGUGGAUUUUGGGGUUUUCGGGGUGAAUUUUGGGGUUUUUGGGGUGGGUUUUGGGGUUUUCGGGGUGGGUUUUGGGGUUUUGGGGGUGCAUUUUGGGGUUUUCGGUGCCCCCGAUCCCAUUUUUGGGGGUGGGUUUUGGGGUUUUCGGUGCCCCCGAUCCCGUUUUCGGGGUGGAUUUUGGGGUUUUCAGGGUGCAUUUUGGGGUUUUCGGUGCCCCCGAUCCCGUUUUCGGGGUGGAUUUUGGGGUUUUCAGGGUGCAUUUUGGGGUUUUCGGUGCCCCCGAUCCCGUUUGCGGGGCGCGUUGGUUUUGGGGUUUUCGGGGUGCAUUUUGGGGUUUUCGGUGCCCCCGAUCCCGUUUUCGGGGUGCGUUUUGGGGUUUUCGGGGUGCGUUUUGGGGUUUUCGGGGUGCAUUUUGGGGUUUUCGGGGUGCGUUUUGGGGUUUUCGGUGCCCCCGAUCCCGUUUCCGGGCUCCCCAGGAGCGCUGGGGCGCCGUUGGGGGGGUGUGGGCGGCGCUGCCCCCCCUCCUGGCCCACCUGGCCCGGCUGAGGCGGCGCCUGAGCACGCACCUGCAGCGGGGGAGGGGCCAGGGAACCGCCAGGCUGUUCCUGCUCCGGGCCGGGCUCUCGGCCUUCCGGGGCUCCCUGGGCCGGGCGCUGACCCAGCUCCAAAAACCCCAAAAUUCACCCCAAAAACCCCAAAAUUCACCCCAAAAACCGCCCUGGGAACCCCAAAAACACCAAAAACCCCAAAAUUCCUCCCCCAAAAACUCCAAAUCCCCAAAAUUCAGCCCCAAAAUCCCCAAAAUUGGCCCCAAAAUCGGCCCCAAAAUCUCAAAAUUUGGACCCAAAAUCCCCAAAUUUGGCCUCAAAAUUGGAUCCAAAUUGACCCCAAAAUCUCAACAGUUGGCCUCAAAAUCGGCUCUAAAAUCCCCAAAUUUGGCCCCAAAAUCCCCAAAUUUGGACCCAAAAUCUCAAAAUUUGGACCCAAAAUCCCCGAGUUUGGCCCCAAAAUCCCCAAAUUUGUCUCCAAAUUCAGCCCCAAAAUCCCCGAAUUUGGCCCCAAAAUUUCAAAAUUUGGCCCCAAAAUCCCCAAAUUUGGCCCCAAAAUCCCCGAGUUUGGCCCCAAAAUCGCCGAAUUUGGCCCCAAAAUCGCCGAAUUUGGCCCCCAAAAUCCCCGAGUUUGGCCCCAAAAUCGCCAUUUGGCCCCCAAAAUCCCCGGUUUGGCCCCAAAAUCGCCGGUUUGGCCCCAGACCCGGCCCUGGAGCGGCUCCGGCAGCGGCUUCGGAGGGGGAGGGGCCGAGUGGUGCGGCUGCAGCGGCGCCUGCGCUUCCUGAGCGCGGCCAGCAGGGGGCGCCGGGCGGCGCUGAGGGCGCUGCAGGAGCAGGUGGGGAGCGCGGCCGGGCGGGGCGGGAUGGACCAGUAUGGACCAGUAUGGACCAGUAUGGACCAGUAUGGACCAGUACGGACCAGUAUGGACCGGUUAGAGACCAGUACGGACCAGUAUGGACCAGUAUGGACCGGUUAGAGACCAGUACGGACCAGUACGGACCAGUAUGGACCAGUACGGACCAGAACGGACCAGUACGGACCAGUACGGACCAGUACGGACCAGUACGGACCAGUAUGGACCAGUAUGGACCAGUAUGGACCAGUAUAGACCAGUACGGACCAGUACGGACCAGAACGGACCAGUACGGACCAGAACGGACCAGUACGGACCAGUAUGGACCAGUACGGACCAGUAUGGACCAGUAUAGACCAGUAUGGACCAGUACGGACCAGUAUAGACCAGUAUGGACCGGUUAGAGACCAGUAUGGACCAGUACGGACCAGUACGGACCAGUACGGACCAGUACGGACCAGUAUGGACCAGUACGGACCAGUAUGGACCGGUUAGAGACCAGUACGGACCAGUAUGGACCAGUACGGACCAGUACGGACCAGUAUGGACCAGUAUGGACCAGUAAUGACCAGUAAUGGACCAGUACGGACCAGUACGGACCAGUAUGGACCAGUAUGGACCAGUAUGGACCAGUUAGAGACCAGUACGGACCAGUAUGGACCAGUAUAGACCAGUACGGACCAGUACGGACCAGAACGGACCAGUACGGACCAGAACGGACCAGUACGGACCAGUACGGACCAGUACGGACCAGUACGGACCAGUAUAGACCAGUAUGGACCAGUAUGGACCGGUUAGAGACCAGUAUGGACCAGUAUGGACCAGUACGGACCAGUACGGACCAGUAUGGACCAGUACGGACCAGUAUGGACCGGUUAGAGACCAGUAUGGACCAGUACGGACCAGUAUGGACCAGUACGGACCAGUACGGACCAGUACGGACCAGUAUGGACCAGUAUGGACCAGUACGGACCAGUAUGGACCGGUUAGAGACCAGUACGGACCAGUACGGACCAGUAUGGACCAGUACGGACCGGUUAGAGACCAGUAUGGACCAGUACGGACCAGUAUAGGCCACUAAGCCCCCCAGUGCCCUCCCAGUCCAUCCCAGUAUAUCCCAGUAUGACCCCAGUUCCCCUAGUUUAUCCCAGUUUGACUCCAGCUGUGUUCCCAGUGCUCCCAGUCCAUCCCAGUAUAACCCAGUCCCUCCCAGUUCCCUCCCAGUUCAUCCCAGUUUGACUCCAGCUGUGUUCCCACUGCCUCCCAGUUUAUCCCAGUUUAUCCCAGUAUGUCCCAGUAUGUCCCAGUUUGAUCCCAGUCCCUCCCAGUGGCCCCAGUUCACCCUCCCAGUACAAACCAGUUCACCCAGUCAAUUGCCUUCCACUCAUCCCAGUCCCUCCCAGUUUGAGUCCAGCUGUGUUCCCAGUCCGUCCCAGUUUGUCCCAGUUUGAUCCCAGUCCCUCCCAGUUCCUCCCAGUAUAUCCCAGUUCCCGACCAUUCUGAUUGGCCGCAGGUUGUGGGCGUGGUGCGGGCGGGGCCGGGCUCGGCCCCUCCCCCUCUGGAGGGGGCGUGGCUCCGUCGCCGGCAGCUGUUAGUGGGAGCGGAGCUCCGCCCCCCGCCACAGGCCACGCCCCCUCUGCAGGGACUGGCCCGGGAGAUGGGCGUGGCACAGGUGAGGGAGGGGCUUCAAGGGGGAGGGGCUUAAAUGGGGAAGGGGAGGAGCUUAGAGGUGAGAGAUGGGAGGGGCUUAAAUGGGAGGAGGGGCUUAGAGAAGGGU